rnacentral:rRNA from 1 species
UACAGAGGUCUCAAGCGUUGUUUCGGAUUCAUUGGGCGUAAAGGGUGCGUAGGCGGCGCGGUAAGUCGGGUGUGAAAAUCUCGGAGCUUAACUCCGCGAAACUGCAUUCGAUACUGACCGUGCUUGGAGGACUGGAGAGGAGACUGGAAUUUACGGUGUAGCGGUGAAAUGCGUAGAUAUCGAGAGGAACACCUGCGGCGAAGGCGGGUUGCUGGGCCGACACUGACGGCUGAGGCGCGGAAAGCCCAGGGGAGCGAAACGGG